rnacentral:rRNA from 1 species
UUUGAUGGCGACCGGCGCACGGGUGAGUAACACGUAUCCAACCUGCCGAUGACUCGGGGAUAGCCUUUCGAAAGAAAGAUUAAUACCCGAUGGCAUAGUUCUUCCGCAUGGUGGAACUAUUAAAGAAUUUCGGUCAUCGAUGGGGAUGCGCUCCAUUAGGUUGUUGGCGGGGUAACGGCCCACCAAGCCUUCGAUGGAUAGGGGUUCUGAGAGGAAGGUCCCCCACAUUGGAACUGAGACACGGUCCAAACUCCUACGGGAGGCAGCAUG